UACGGAGGGUGCAAGCGUUAUCCGGAUUCACUGGGUUUAAAGGGUGCGUAGGUGGGUCUGUAAGUCAGUGGUGAAAUCUCCAAGCUUAACUUGGAAACUGCCGUUGAUACUAUAGACCUUGAAUGCUGUGGAGGUGAGCGGAAUAUGUCAUGUAGCGGUGAAAUGCUUAGAUAUGACAUAGAACACCAAUUGUGAAGGCAGCUCACUACCCAGAUAUUGACACUGAGGCACGAAAGCGUGGGGAUCAAACAGG
rnacentral:rRNA from 1 species